UAACACUUCUGUCGCUUCGGCCAGAAGUCAUCACACUUCAGGGGGGAGUAUCACAAACUCUCCUAGCACUUCUGUCGCUUUGGCCAGAAGUCGUCAAAAUUCAAGGGAAGAGUAUCACAAACUCUCCCAAUACUUCUGUCGCUUCGGCCAGAAGUCAUCAUACUUUGGGAGGGAGUAUCACAAGCUCUCUCCAUCUUUAAAGGUUCCGAGUUUCAAGGCAACCUUGGAGUGUCGAGUAUUUGUGAUCGGUCGUUUACCGACAAUCACAUAAAUCGAAAAACACUCAUCACAAAAAGUUGCGCAUCAUCAAAGCACAACCUUCGGGGGGAGUAUCACAAGCUCCCCCGGCACUUCUGUCGCUUCGGCCAGAGGUCGUCGAAACUCAGGGGGGAGUAUCACAAGCUCUCCCGGCACUUCUGCCGCUUCGGCCAGAAGUCGUCGAAAUUCAGGGGGGAGUAUCACAAGCUCUCCUGGCACUUCUG
rnacentral:lncRNA from 1 species